rnacentral:rRNA from 1 species
CCCUGCCAUUUGUACACACCGCCCGUCGCUACUACCGAUUGAAUGGCUCAGUGAGGCGUUCGGACUGGCUUAGGGAGGUUGGCAACGACCACCCCAAGCCGGAAAGUUCGUCAAACUCGGUCAUUUAGAGGAAG